UUGAGUCACUGUACACUCCUGGAGAUAUGUUGGGUGAAGGAGGCUACGGGACAGUCUGUGCAGGAUAUCGUAAUGCGGAUGGCAAGCAGGUUGCAAUUAAAUACGUGAGAAAAAGUCCGGACGAUGACUUCAUCACCAUUUUUGGAGAGACACGCAGCCUUGAUUGGUUUGAGAUGUCCAACUGCUACAUCUCGGUCCUGGAGCGACCGCGUCCCUGCAUGGACGUCCAGAAAUAACAUCAGCGUUACUAAUGAUUCCACAGUAGC